UACGUAGGGUCCAAGCGUUAUCCGGAAUCACUGGGCGUAAAGGGUGCGUAGGCGGUUUGUCGCGUCGGGAGUGAAAACCUUGGGCUUAACUCAGGGCUUGCUUUCGAUACGGGCAGACUAGAGGUAUGCAGGGGAGAACGGAAUUCCUGGUGUAGCGGUGAAAUGCGCAGAUAUCAGGAGGAACACCGGUGGCGAAGGCGGUUCUCUGGGCAUGAUCUGACGCUGAGGAGCGAAAGUGUGGGGAGCGAACAGG
rnacentral:rRNA from 1 species